GCACGAUAAAAGCCAAAUUCCUUGGCACCAGGGAGCGGGGGAACCAUGAUAUGGGUGAAUUGAUCUCGCAUUAGAGGGAUCAUAGGGGACCUUCAACCGAAUCCUUAAGCUAACCUCGCAGGCAUUGGAAGGGGAAUAU
rnacentral:sRNA from 2 species